rnacentral:rRNA from 1 species
AAUUUUGGACAACGGGGGGAACCCUGAUUCCGCCAUCCCGCGUGUAUGAUGAAGCCCUUUGCGUCGUAAAGUACUGUCGACAGGGACGAAACGGCACCACCUAAAACUACGUGUUCAUGACGGUACCCGUAGAAUAAGCACCGGAUAACUACGUGCCAGCAGCCGCGGUAAUACGUAGGGUGCAAGCGUUAAUCGGAAUUACUGGGCGUAAAGGGUACGCAGGCGGCUAGGAAAGAAGGAUGUGAAAUCCAAGAGCUCAGGCUUGGAACUGCAUUCUUAACUGCCUAACUAGAGUAAGUCAGAGGGGGGUAGAAUUCAACGUGUAGCAGUGAAAUGCGUAGAUAUGUGGAGGAAUACCGAUGGCGAAGGCAGCCCCCUGGGAUAAUACUGACGCUCAGGUACGAAAGCGUGGGGAGCAAAC